CAAAAUUCCCAAUUCCGAAACCAGCCAUUGUUUCAGCUUCGUCUUCUCAACCUCAAAAGUCUAUCACAGAAACCCUAGAAUUCAGAAUGGAUCCUGCGAACCACCCUCUGCAGAUCUUCGUCCAAUCCCCCGAUCUCAAUCUUCCUUCCCGCGCCCUUGCCCUAAAUCCUUCUCACACCCUCCGCCACCUCAAGCUCUCUCUCCUCCCCCAAAACCUCCCCUCCCAAACCCUAGCCUCCCUAUACUUCACCUUCACGGGCAAGCCCCUCUCUGACUCCACCACCAUACGCGACUCCCAAAUCCAGCAUUUCUCGACGCUCGUACUUCGCAUUCGAGCCCCUGGCGGCGGUGGCGAUGGCGGCGCCACCGGAGCAGAGUCCCGCGAUUGCUAUCUCAACAUGUACGCGAUAAAAAAGCCCGACAAGGUUGAUCCGAAUGAGAAGAGAUUAUCCAAGUGGACGACGUGUGCGCUGUCGUUCGAGCCGUUGAAGCAUCCUUGCGUGGUGGAUAGGCUCGGGAAUGUGUUCAACAAAGAGGCGCUUGUGGAGGCGUUGUUGGGGAAGAAGCUGCCCAAGGAGUUUGGGCAUAUCAAGGGUUUGAAGGAUAUGAUUCCGAUUCAAUUUUCGAUGAUUCCUGGGUUGGACUCAAACGAUGGAGAUGUGAUUGGGGGAACUCGGUUCCAGUGUCCCAUUACAGGGCUUGAGUUUAAUGGGAAGUACAAGUUUUUUUCUUUGAAGGGUUGUGGGCAUGUGUUGAGUGCUAAAGCUUUGAAGGAGGUUAAAUCUUCGUCUUGCCUUGUUUGUCAUAAGGAGUUUAUGGAGGGGGAUAAGAUUGUGAUUAAUGGGAGUGAGGAGGAGGUGGCAGCAUUGAGGGAGAGGAUGGAAGAAGAAAAGGCGAAGUUGAGGGAAAAGAAGGUGAAAAAGGUGAAGAAUGGGGAUGCGAGGGUAUGCGGGGAGGAUGGUGUGAGUUUGGAUUCAGCCCGGUUAAGUGGCACAAAGCAUGGAAUUGAUUCUAAGGGCGUGGAGAAGGUUACAGGUAAGGUGGAAGGAAAUGUGAAAAUUGCAAAUGUUGGUUUUACUGUAAAAGGUGCAAAUGAAGGUUCAGUAAAGCGGUUCAAAGCGGCUGACAUAGCCCCACCUAAUGCUAAUAAGGAAGUUUAUGCAUCUAUAUUUACCUCAUCCAAGAAAUCCAAUUUCAAGGAAACAUUUACUUGCAGAUCUCUCCCACUUGGAAGAAAUUGAUUGAUGGAGGAGCUGGUCAUAAAUUGCUAGGAGGGGAAUGAUGUUCAGGUUAGUGGAACUUCAAGUUAAGAAGAAAUUUAAAGAUUCAGAAACAGAAAUGCUUGGAUGGAUCCUUUGAAAGAACCGACAGUUCACAGUUAAAUCUUUCUACUCUUGGAUCAAGGGAAGAAUAAGUCGGAAGGGUACAGAAUUUUCCUUGGAAAUCUAUUCGGAAAAAGUAAGGCUCUUUCCAAGGUGGCUCUCUACAGAAUUUUCCUUGGAAAUCUAUUCGGAAAAAGUAAGGCUCUUUCCAAGGUGGCUCUCUCUCUCUCCUUACGUGGAAGUCCACUUCAGGAAGAAUCCUUGCUCUUGACAACUUGAUGAAGAGGGUUUGUGUAUGGUAAACAGAAACAGAUAUUUUUUGUUUUCUGCACAGUAAACUGAUGUCCUUAACAAUGGAAAUGCUUGGAUGUCAUUUAAGUUCUGUAACACAAAUCUGGUAUGAAUGCAUUCAAAGAACAGAUUGUUCCAGUUAAAUCUUUCUACUCCCAGAUCAGGGGAAGAAUAGGUGAGAUGGGUAGAGAUUUUCCAUUGGGAAGCUGUUUGGAAAAAUGAUGACUUUUCAUUUUUUUGGUUGGAGGCCCCUUCAGAAAGAAUCUUUACUCUGGAUAACUUGAGGGUUUGUGUAUGGUGAACUGAUACUUCCUGUUUUGUGUAAAAUGAACUGAUUUUUUUUUUGUGCAAAAUCUGGGGAGAAGCAGUUUGUCAUUUCUAUUGCAUUGCAGUUAGUUGAGAGUUUGGGGCCUGACAUACGCCUCUAUAGGGAUCAACUGGUUUAUAGACUGGUUAUGGCCAGAGCUGAAAGCUUGAAAGGGAUCUUAUGGCAGGCGUAUCCUGUGUGCAGACUUCUUGUAGGCUCGUAACUUUUGACAUGUUUUCCCAGGAGUGCCCUGUGCGUGUUCAUGGAUUUCUUGCAGGAAGUCUUUUGGCUUCGAUGAGAAGAGUUGGGACAGCAAUUUUUAAGGCACUAUUGUUUCUGGUAGGUAGGUUUGGUCACGUGCAGAGUGAACUGUACAUGCAUGCUCCCCAUGCUCCCUUUUUAUGCUGCAUUUCAAUAGCGCGAUAGUUGGAUUUUAUUGUACUUCGGCCACCAAAAGUGUUGGUUGGAGUUGUUUGCUAUGGUGAUCAAGGAAUUUCAUUUUUCCAGCUUUAAUAGUUUUUGGGUACUUUCCAUCGUCUCCAAGGAGUUUCUUUUCUAGCCUUGCCAAUGUCACUCCAUAAAAUGUUCCUGUAGCAUUGAAUGCGAUGAAGUUCCGUUUUUAGCUUUAGCAGUUUUACGGCAUACUGUGUUUUCUAGUAUGUUUUGUAGUUUGGAGAUGCAUUUCUUUUUCCAUUUUA